CUACCCGGGUUUCUAAUCCUGUUCGCUCCCCACGCUUUCGCUCCUCAGCGUCAGUUACUGCCCAGAGACCCGCCUUCGCCACCGGUGUUCCUCCUGAUAUCUGCGCAUUCCACCGCUACACCAGGAAUUCCAGUCUCCCCUGCAGUACUCCAGUCUGCCCGUAUCGCCCGCACGCCCCCAGUUAAGCCAGGGAAUUUCACGAACAACGCGACAAACCACCUACGAGCUCUUUACGCCCAGUAAUUCCGGACAACGCUCGCACCCUACGUAUUACCGCGGCUGCUGGCAC
rnacentral:rRNA from 1 species